ACCGCCCUAGUUCUAACCGUAAACGAUGCCAACUGGCCAUUAGCCGGCGUUAAUUUGACGACUCGGCUGGCAGCCUCCGGGAAACCAAAGUUUUCUGGUUCCGGGGGAAGUAUGGUUGCAAAGCUUAAACUUAAAGGAAUUGACGGAAGGGCACCACCAGGUGUGGAGCCUGCGGCUUAAUUUGACUCAACACGGGAAAUCUCACCCGGCCAAGACACAAUAAGGAUUGACAGAUUGAUAGCUCUUUCUCGAUUUUGUGGGUGGUGGUGCAUGGCCGUUCUUAGUUGGUGGAGCGAUUUGUCUGGUUAAUUCCGAUAACGAACGAGACUCUAGCCUAUUAAAUAGGUUUUGAAUUUUUAGUCCCUCACGGGACCGUUUGAAACCCUUCUUAGAGGGACAGACGGCUUAUAGCCGUACGAGAUUGAGCAAUAACAGGUCUGUGAUGCCCUUAGAUGUCCGGGGCUGCACGCGCGCUACACUGAAUGGGGCACAGUGUUUCGCGCCCGUCUACGAAAGUAGUCGGUAAUCACGAAUUCUAUUCGUGCUUGGGAUAGUGGAUUGAAAUUAUUCCACUUAAACGAGGAAUAUCUAGUAAGCGUGGGUCAUAAGUUCGCGUUGACUAUGUCCCUGCCCUUUGUACACACCGCCCGUCGCUACUACAGAUUGGAAGAUUCGAUGAAACACAUGGACUGGGUCCGAGGUGAUCUAAAAAGUCGUUUCGGUACGCGGGAAGUGCG
rnacentral:rRNA from 1 species